rnacentral:snRNA from 1 species
GGAUGUGAGUAUGAUCUGGCUGUGUCAUCUGUCACCACACUGAUCUCCAGUGUUGAUUCAGCUGAUCUAGUUGGCUAGAUGCAUGUCACCUUCCUCCCUCAACUGCUCCAUGUGCAUCCCUCCCAAGACUGCAUGCUUGUUCAAAGAGGACAACUUUCCCUGAUAGAGGAGGACCAUUCUUAAGCCAGACUUUCAAGAAUGAAAGGGAAAUUAAGAGAAUUGUUUU